CGUUUCCCAGCCCGCAAAAUACCACCAAGAUAGUAGAAUGAAUCUGCUCCCACCAUCUCUAUUAUUUUACACAAAAUUUCUUCUAGAAGAUUGGAGAUGUUUAGAGAUGCCAUACUAUUGAGUUUUGUUGGAAAUGUUUAUCAGAAGCAUUGAAUAUGUAUAUAUAAAAUAAAGAAAUAAACAAAGGAGUCUUAUGAGUUACUAG
rnacentral:lncRNA from 1 species